rnacentral:lncRNA from 1 species
AUGUACAUUACUUUUUUUUUUAUUAUUUUUGCUGCUGCUUCUUUUUUUAAUUUAGCCUUUUCUUCUAUAGCUGCAUUUUCUGCUGCUUUGUUUGCUAAUUUAGCUAUUUCUUCUGCUGCUGCUGUUGCUUCUGCUGCUUUUUCUGUUGCUUCUUUUUUUGCCAUUUCUUUUUCUAAUUUAGCCUGUAAUUCUUCUGCUGCUAUUUUUUUUGCUUCUAUUUCUAAUUCAGUCCUUCCUUCUGUCGCUAUGUGUUUUGGCAUGUUUAUAUGUAUUUCCUCUACACCUUUAUGUCCAUGUCUAUGUCCGUGUCCAAGUUCGUGUCCAAGUCUAUGUCCAAUUCCGUGUCCAAGUUUGUGUCCAAGUCCGUUAUCAUGUCUGUGACCAUUUUCAAAUCCAUACUCAUAUUCAUAUUCAUAUCCGUGUCCAUGUCCAUGUCCAUGUCCAUGUCCGUGUCCAUGUCCAUCUCCAUGUCCGUGUCCAUGUCCGUGUCCAUGCACUUCACCUCCUUUUAUUUGUACUCCAUACAUUUCUCCUUUUAAAUUACUUGCAUUUCUUUGUGUUGAAGACCUAAAUCUUUUGUUAAAUUUAUCUGUUUUAUUUUGAAUUAAAUUCAUCAUAGAAUAGUCUUCACCAUUUUUGCUGCUCAUGGGUGGAGCGUCAAAUAUUUCUACGAAGAAACAAAUAUCAAUACAUAUAUGUUGUAUAUAAAUAUUUACAUUUUUUAUGUAUAUUUUAUUUGUAUUUUAUUUAUAUGUACAUUACUUAUUCUUUUAUGUGCAUCAUUAAAUAUUAUAUAUUUAUCCAAAAAAAACGGAACUCCUAAACUUAUAUCAUCAGAAGCAUUUAUUAAAACUUUGUAAUUAUCGUCACUAAAAUAAAAAAAAAAAAAAAAAAAUUAUAUAUAUAUAU